rnacentral:rRNA from 1 species
UACGUAGGGUCCGAGCGUUGUCCGGAGUUACUGGGCGUAAAGCGCGCGCAGGCGGUCGUUCAAGUCGCGUGUGAAAGCCCCCGGCUCAACUGGGGAGGGUCACGCGAUACUGAUCGACUCGAAGGCAGGAGAGGGUAGUGGAAUUCCCGGUGUAGUGGUGAAAUGCGUAGAUAUCGGGAAGAACACCAGCGGCGAAGGCGGCAUCCUGGCCCUGAACUGACGCUGAGGCGCGAUAGCGUGGGGAGCAAACGGG